GUGGGGAAUAUUGGACAAUGGGCGCAAGCCUGAUCCAGCCAUGCCGCGUGAGUGAUGAAGGCCUUAGGGUUGUAAAGCUCUUUCAGUGGGGACGAUAAUGACGGUACCCACAGAAGAAGCCCCGGCUAACUUCGUGCCAGCAGCCGCGGUAAUACGAAGGGGGCUAGCGUUGUUCGGAUUUACUGGGCGUAAAGCGCACGUAGGCGGAUCGUUAAGUCGGGGGUGAAAUCCUGGAGCUCAACUCCAGAACUGCCUUCGAUACUGGCGAUCUUGAGUCCGGAAGAGGUGAGUGGAACUCCUAGUGUAGAGGUGGAAUUCGUAGAUAUUAGGAAGAACACCAGUGGCGAAGGCGGCUCACUGGUCCGGUACUGACGCUGAGGUGCGAAAGCGUGGGGAGCAAACAGGAUUAGAAACCCCUGUAGUCC
rnacentral:rRNA from 1 species